GAAUAAACAACGAACAGAAUGCCCGUGGAAGGGCUGAAGUGGGUGAGGCUGAAUGUAUGGCCACACAGAACUAUUGCAUUAAUGCAGAUGUUGGGCUCCUCUUCUGCACGUGUAUAGCUUUUAAAACAUUCUCUCUAAAAGCUAUUGCCCAGCCACACUACGCAAGACUUCUGCAGUUAGCUCCAUGUACCAGGCUGAGUGUUUGGAGAGAAGAGAUUUAUGGCCAGGUCUGAAGUGUUAUUGAGUGAUAUUGUGAUGCCAGUAAAUCGUAUUAGUGCCACGAGAGCCAGUUUGGUGUAGUGGUGAAGUCACCGGGCUAGAAACCAGGAGGCUGUGAGUUCUAGUCCCGCCUUAGGCACAAAGCCAGCUGGGGGACCUUCGGCCAGUCACUCUCUCUUGACUCUAGGAAGAAGGCAAUGGCAAACCACUUCUGAAAAUCCUGCCAAGAAAACUGCAGGCACUAGUCCAGGCAGUCUCUGAGCACCUCCUCAGUGUUCAGAGUUUGCAGGUAUUCAGUGUCUGAAUGGCAGCUACGUUCCGUCUUCUAACAAGUGCUUCUUGAGGUGACAACCAUAAUGGUACAUUAGGAGACAAUCUUACCUCAUAUUUAUUCCAGAUUCUCAGUAUGGCAUUCCUAAGAAAAUGAUUUUUAAAAUCCUUGUUAACUUUAACUUUAUCAUACCAUAAGUAGGCGUGCCACCCAACUCUUAAAUCAUGUCCUUCAAGCAGUAGUAAUUUCUCAUUCUCCAAAGUAAUCCAUUCCUUCAUCCAAAGCAAACAACAGGCAUCAAAAUACAAUUUCAAAUUAGGCAGACCCAAACCUCCUCGUUCUUUGGCAUCCUGUAACAAUUUAUAUUUAAUUCUUGAUUUCUUGCCUUGCCAAAUAAAUUUUGAAAUCUCUCCCCCCCAUCUUUAAAUGGCUAAUCUGUUGACAAAAUCGAUAAGGUCUGGAAAAGAAACAACAUCCGAGGCAAAACGUCAUCAUCACAGAUAUUCUCCCCAUAAGAGACAAUAAGAGUUUCCCCCAUCUUAUCAAAUCUUUUUUUACAUCAUUCCAAAUUUUACCAUAAUUACCCAUUCCCCCAUUCCAACUUUCCCGUGUCCCUCGUUUUUUCACCUUGAUAUAU